rnacentral:rRNA from 1 species
GUGUCAGCAGCCGCGGUAAGACAGAGGUGGCGAGCGUUGUUCGGAAUUACUGGGCUUAAAGGGCGCGUAGGCGGUGAUAUAAGUCUGGGGUGGAAGCCCAUAGCUUAACUAUGGGACUGCCCUGGAAACUGUAUUGCUUGAGUCGGACAGGGGAAGGCGGAAUUCCAGGUGUAGCGGUGAAAUGCGUAGAUAUCUGGAGGAAGGCCUGUGGUGAAGACGGCCUUCUGGGUCUUGACUGACGCUGAGGCGCGAAAGCGUGGGUAGCAAACAGGAUUAGAUACCCGGGUAGUCC